ensembl:lncRNA
CUGAAAACAAAUCCUAAUUCUUCUGCCAAAAUAUAGUUCCCCAAGGUAGCACACUGGUUGUCAAGCAACAGCGGCGCACUAAUACCAGAGACGUCAAACUAGUGCCGCGCAGGACAGACAGGAGUCAGUUCACAAAAAAAAAGAAAAGUGUGCGUUCACGAUUCAACUGUUCAUUCAGUAGCUAUGCCACUCAGGGGGCUGUCCACGGAGGAACUUUUACAAAAGUUGGUGGUGGAAGGAGGAAUCCAAAUUUCAGAAGAGGAGGCUCAGAAAUUUAGAGACAAUGAUGUGGAUGGAGAGACAGUAGACUGCGGACUCACAGAAAAUAUGAUUGCAUAUCUCUUUGACAAGUCUUUCAAAAAGCAGCUAAAAUUCAGAGACUUCACACACCGCAACAAGGAGGUCACCGUUACUUUGGAAGUGGUCAACCCAGAACAACAAACAUGUGAAGCUUCUGUGUCCCCAGCAAACCAGAGGUUGGAAUCUACUUGCCACAGACUGCCUGCAGUCAUUUCCAUUCCACAAUUCCCACAAGAUGUCCAGAGCCGCUUAGAUGCUAAAGAACCGGUCCACAAGGAACAAAAGUACCGUAACAAAAUAAUUGGGAAUCUGUAUGACAUGCUGUCACAGUGUACAAUGUAUCCAACCAACUCGGACUACGUUCAGAUCGUUAAAGCGUUAAUUGGGAAGUACCCUUUCUUAAGGGAUGUACACGGGAAUGGUUAUCAUACCUGGCACAGCCAACUCAAGAGAAAAUUCAAAACAGAACGGGCUCCACUAAUCAACAAUGAGGAAGUAAAACGGGUCAAAGAAAAGUUUCGGCAAGCAAGAUCACUGAAGACCCCAGAAGAAUCUACAUCCACAUGUCCAAAACGACUGAAGCCAUCUCUAGUAAGUCCCCUCAAUCUCACAAAAGCUAAGGCAAGAUCACAUUGUUAUAUUGUGUACAUAUGAUCUCUAACCAGUGA